rnacentral:rRNA from 1 species
AGUCGUAACAAGGUUUCCGUAGGUGAACCUGCGGAAGGAUCAUUAUCUAUUCCAUGAGGUGCGGUCGCGGCCCUCGGCGGGAGCAACAGCUGCCGUCGGGCGGUAGAGGUAACACUUUCACGCGCCGCAUGUCUGAAUCCUUUUUUUACGAGCACCUUUCGUUCUCCUUCGGCGGGGCAACCUGCCGUUGGAACCUAUCAAAACCUUUUUUUGCAUCUAGCAUUACCUGUUCUGAUAAAAACAAUCGUUACAACUUUCAACAAUGGAUCUCUUGGCUCUGGCAUCGAUGAAGAACGCAGCGAAAUGCGAUAAGUAGUGUGAAUUGCAGAAUUCAGUGAAUCAUCGAAUCUUUGAACGCACAUUGCGCCCCUUGGUAUUCCAUGGGGCAUGCCUGUUCGAGCGUCAUCUACACCCUCAAGCUCUGCUUGGUGUUGGGCGUCUGUCCCGCCUCUGCGCGCGGACUCGCCCCAAAUUCAUUGGCAGCGGUCCUUGCCUCCUCUCGCGCAGCACAUUGCGCUUCUCGAGGUGCGCGGCCCGCGUCCACGAAGCAACAUUACCGUCUUUGACCUCGGAUCAGGUAGGGAUACCCGCUGAACUUAA